GGUAUAUAAGGCCUAACGCAUUUCUCUGAUUUAACUUGCUCAGUGAGAACUACCCAUCAUGCAGUACGUGUUCAUAUUCCUUCUGCUCGCCAGUGUUUUGGCUUGCGCACUAGCAGGUUACCGCUACGGAUACGGGGGAUAUGGAUAUCCUUCUUAUGGCCAUUACGGAGGAUAUUACGGAGGACAUUAUGGACGCGGACUGUACAACUACGGCCACAAAGCUUACCGUUACUUCCAUUAAUGAGAUAUUAUUAAAGGUUUUAUUGUUUUCCUUGAAAGUUAAGAGAAAAAGACCAGCGCCAUCUAAAAUGAAGUUCAUCACUACCUGACUAGUUAUUUCAAUAGAAUUUUAGAAUAAACUGUUAUUUUUUUUUAGUAAAAGCACACAUGGUGUGUAUAUUAUGUACACUAUUUGUAAAAAAUAAAUAUUUUAGAACACUUUCA